CUGAAGUCCACGACACUACCAAGUGCUGGUGUUGAAAAGAUCAAAGAACAAGCAAGCAAACACGUGCCACCAUGCCUGGCUCUAAUUCACUUUUAAUUGCCUCUUGAAAAGAGAAUGGGGCGAGGCCCAUUAAAAAAGUGACUUGACGUAAAGUAUUGAUAAUCCGG
rnacentral:lncRNA from 1 species